AGCGAACGCUGGCGGCGUGCCUAACACAUGCAAGUCGAGCGCGGGCAUUUCGGGGGUAACCCCGGGAUGUGCUGAGCGGCGGACGAGUGAGUAAUACGUGGACAACCUGCCUUAAAGCUUGGGAUAACUCCGGGAAACUGGAGCUAAUACCGGAUAAGACCACGGUGUCUAUGGAUGCUGAGGUAAAAGGCGGCCAGGAAACUGGCUGUUGCUUAAAGAUGGGUCCACGUCCCAUCAGGUAGUUGGUGAGGUAAAGGCUCACCAAGCCAAAGACGGGUAGCUGGCCUUAGCGGGUGGUCAGCCAC
rnacentral:rRNA from 1 species